rnacentral:snoRNA from 1 species
AUGGAAUUAGCGAUGAUUAUAAAAAUAAUUUUUCGUUUUGACUUGCUUAAUUUGGAUAUGACAAACCUCUUACUACAAUUAUAGAAUCUGAGCUCC